rnacentral:rRNA from 1 species
UCAGCAUACUGCCGUGAAUACGUUCCCGGGCCUUGUACACACCGCCCGUCACACCAUGAGAGUUGGGAAUACCCGAAGCCUGUGAGCUAACUUUAGGGAGGCAGCAGUCGAAGGUAGAAUCAAUGAUUGGGUGAAGUCGUAACAAGGUAAC